rnacentral:rRNA from 1 species
GUUUGAUCCUGGCUCAGAAUCAACGCUGGCGGCGUGCCUAACACAUGCAAGUCGAACGAGAAAGUGGAGCAAUCCAUGAGUACAGUGGCGACCGGGUGAGUAACACGUGACUACCUGCCCUUGAGUGGGGGAUAACCUCGGGAAACCGAGGCUAACACCGCAUAAUAUCGCAAGAUCAAAGGAGCAAUCCGCUUUUGGAGGGGGUCGCGGCUGAUUAGCUAGUUGGUAGGGUAAUGGCCUACCAAGGCAAAGAUCGGUAUCCGGCCUGAGAGGGCGCACGGACACACUGGAACUGAAACACGGUCCAGACUCCUACGGGAGGCAGCAGUGGGGAAUUUUGCGCAAUGGGGGAAACCCUGACGCAGCAACGCCGCGUGGAGGAUGAAGCCCCUUGGGGUGUAAACUCCUUUCGACCGGGAAGAUAAUGACGGUACCGGUGGAAGAAGCACCGGCUAACUCUGUGCCAGCAGCCGCGGUAAUACAGAGGGUGCGAGCGUUGUUCGGAAUUAUUGGGCGUAAAGGGCGCGUAGGCGGUGCGGUAAGUCACCUGUGAAACCUCUGGGCUUAACUCAGAGCCUGCAGGCGAAACUGCCGUGCUGGAGGGUGGGAGAGGUGCGUGGAAUUCCCGGUGUAGCGGUGAAAUGCGUAGAUAUCGGGAGGAACACCUGUGGCGAAAGCGGCGCACUGGACCACUACUGACGCUGAGGCGCGAAAGCUAGGGGAGCAAACAGGAUUAGAUACCCUGGUAGUCCUAGCCCUAAACGAUGAUUGCUUGGUGUGAUCGGUACCCAAUCCGAUCGUGCCGCAGCUAACGCGAUAAGCAAUCCGCCUGGGGAGUACGGUCGCAAGGCUGAAACUCAAAGGGAAUUGACGGGGGCCCGCACAAGCGGUGGAGCAUGUGGUUCAAUUCGACGCAACGCGAAGAACCUUACCUGGGCUCGAAAUGCAGAGACCGGGGUAGAAAUAUCCUUUUCUCGCAAGAGACUGCUGUAUAGUGCUGCAUGCUGUCGUCAGCUCGUGUCGUGAGAUGUUGGGGUUAAGUCCCGCACGAGCGCAACCCUCAUCCCUAGUUGCCAUCGGUCAAGCG